GGAGGUGUGGCUCAGUGGUGGAGCACUUGCCUGGCAUGCAUGAGGCCCUGGAUUCAAUCCUCAGCACUUCAA
rnacentral:tRNA from 1 species